GGACCCCCCCAGAUCCGGCCCCAGGACGGGGACCUGCUGCUGCUGCUGCGGAGCCUGGGUGCGUCUGGACUGGGAGCACUGGGAGAGGGACUGGGGCAGGACUGGGGGUGCUGGGAGGGACUCGGAGAGGGACUGGGGGCACUGGAAAGGAACGGGAGAGGGUUUGGGGGCACGGGGAAGGUCUGGAACGGGGAUUGUGGGCACUGGGAGGGCGAGUCAAGAGGCUGGGGAGACUGGGAAAGAGGAUGAAGGCAUACUGGGAAGGACUGGGAGGCACAGAGGGAACUGGGCUGCACAGGGAAGGAAGGACUGGCAUGGGACUGGGGAGCACUGGGAGAGGCACUGGAGGAGGCACUGGGAGGCACUGGCAGCACUGAUGCCCUGUCCCCUCCUCGCAGGCCCUGGAGCCCCCCCUGAGCCCGUGGCCGCCACCAGCUUUGUGGGCCCUGAACCCCGGGACCUGCUGCCCACUGGUGAGGAGCUGGGGAGUCCCAGCAGUGCUGGGAGGGAACUGGGCUACAGCCUGGCCUGGCCGCAGUUACUGGUGUGGAACCCGUGUGUGCCUGGUUCGUUGUCGCUGUGAUACCGAUGUGCUACUGGUGUGUAACUGGUGUUACUGGGCCCAGGACCCCAUCCCAUUCACAGUGGAGCUGCCGCGGGGCCCAGGGGGUUUCGGGUUCAGCCUCCGGGGGGGCCCCGCCGGGGUUUUCGUGCGGGGGCUGCGUGAGGGGGGCCCGGCCCAGCGCUGCGGCUGCAUCCAGGUACGGGGGAUUUGCGGGGCUCUG
rnacentral:lncRNA from 1 species